rnacentral:piRNA from 1 species
CACGUUGGCAGGUACCUGCGAGGGG